GGUAAACAUUGGCUUUUCAGUCGAGAGUCGAAGUCGUCUUCCGAAAUCUCACAUAUUAUUCUUUUUUUCUCACAUCAUGUGUGUGUCGUUAGUUGAUUAAUUCAUAUCCUUCAGAAAGACGAAAUCAAGGUGAUGGGGAGAAAGAAAAAAAUUACAAAAGAUCCUGAGCCUUAUCUUAUUCAACAUGCACCACUUAACUGGGAACAGCUCAGCACUAUUCUUGAAGCGCAGGACGGUGAUGACUCUCUGAAGGCUGUGGUUACUCAAGUAGCUACUCCAAGAGCUGGACAGGUUUACUUGGUAGAAUGUGCAGGUGCUCGAUUUGCUCGUUAUGAUAGCCACCGUUGGACAGCAUAUUACAGACAUGAUGGCUUGGGAGCCUUAUUGCCACAGGGAGAAGAGGAUAUGUACAAAGAUAAGAUUGAAGUCCGAUAUAAUAAAAAACGUGGAAAUCAUGAUAAUCUUUGCAAUGAGGCUGUCAGGAUUGUGUAUAAAUAUAAAUCCCCUGGAGAUCUGGUUCAGGGAAGCAGAGAUAUUUCCUAUCAUGUUGUCCAGUAUUUGGAAAAGUUACCAGACUAUGUAGAAAGCAAGGUAAGGCAAGACAAAGAAGUACAAGACACAGAAAUAAGAGAACUCGAGGAAAUGGCUAUGAAAGAGAAAGCAGUAAAACAGGCAGAAAAGGAGACGAGUUCGCCACAAGCAGCAUCAAGCAGCUUUGGAAGAAAGAGGAAGCCAAACAGUCGUUACACAGAUUUAUACAAAGUCGAAAUGACUACAACAAAAUCUCAGCAUUACAAUGAAGAAGACACAAGAACAGACUUUGAGGAUAGUGAGGAUGAGGAUGAACUAUAUGGAGAAAUGCCAGGUAGCCCCAAAAUAACUGAGGUGAGAAAACUGAUUCGUGGAAAACGUGGCCGACCUCCCAAGGUGAGAGUGAAAGGACAUGGGCGACAUGGUGGGACUACUUGGAUGGCUGGGUAUGGUGCAGAAAAGACAAAACCCAAGAGUUCAACCUUGUUCAGAAUGUGUGAGGACGACGAUGAUGAUGAUGAUGAUGACGAUGUUGAAGAAGAGGAGGAGGAGGAAGAGGAAGAAGAAGUAGUUAAGGAAGAGGAAGAGGAAGCAGUUAAGGAAGAGGGAGAAGAGGAGGAGACAACAGAUGAUUCAGUGAGUGUUAGUCUCCAGAAAGUUAUUGAUAAUGAAAAAGAGAAAGAGAAGAGAACUCAAGACAUAAAAGGAGAUGAAGUGGACAUAGACUCUGGACAGAUAUGGUACUGUGUUGACUUUCCCUCUGCAGCCAUGAAAGCCUCAAUUCCUUUGACAUUAGCCCAAGUAACAGAAACUUUUGAGAAGAUCAUUCAAGGAAAGAUGCUGGUAUAUACUUCUCAAGUUUUGAUAGCAAAAUCAGGAGAUGUCUUUGCUCUAGCUGAUGAAGUUGCCCUUAGUGAUACCGAGUUGUGGUCAAUGAAAAGUAGCUUCCCUCAGCAAAACAUGCCUGGCUUGACUGUCACAUGGUAUGAUCGCACCACAAUGCCACAGGAUUGUUUUGAUCUACAAGAUAAGCAGCCUGAUGUCAUGCUGAUUUACAAAUCAAAAACACAUGCCAAAUUCUGCAUGGUCCACUACCUCACCCUAGAGUCAUCUGGCUUGAAGUCUCCUGUUGUCUUGGCUGGGUCUGAUACCCCAAGCUCAGACUCUGUCCUGCAAUUAUUAGAUGAUCCAGAGACCAUAUCAGAAUGCUUUGACGAUCUGAAGAUUAAUGCUCUCCAUGCAAGUGAAAGCAUAGCAAGCACAUCAGCAAAGAACACUCAGGAAACUAAGUUGAAUACAGAGAAGAAGGGAAAGUCUCCUGGACGGCCAAGGCAUAGGGGACUGACAAGUGAAGGGGAGCUGAAAACCAAAGGGAAGAAGGCCUUUAGAGAAGGGCAAAAGGAAGGGAGAAAAAGGGAAUAUGCAGAUGAUGAGCCCCAGCCUUUCCGCAUUUAUACUAAAGGGAAGCUGUACCAUGCUGAUGCAGAUGAAAUAUUUAAAAAAGUGGAGGCAGGAGAAAUUACUGUAUAUAAAGAUGAGAUAAAAACACCUCAAUAUGGAGAUAUGUAUGUCCUUGAUAAGAAUUUUGUUCCAUUUAGUGAUUCAGUUCCCUGGGUGAGGGAGUACUACUAUAAGGCUCAUAAUAUACUCAUGGAAAGGUUUACACUACGAGAUUCCAAAAUGGUAUUCACGCAUCCACUCCCUCCUGCAGCAAAGUCAGUUUUUACCCUUGUUGAGAACGUGCCUCAGUUGUGCAUUGUGCAUUAUGAAAAGGGCAACAUUGGACGUGGAAAGAUGAAACAGAAGUCUGCAAAAUCAGAAGAAGCAGAACGGAGCAAAAAGAUAUACACAGAAUCCAAUUCAAACUUGACACUGUCAUUGGUGGCUGCAAUGCUCUCCAAUCCUGAUGAGAAAAGAAUCGUCAGUGCUCCUAUACUUAACCCACAGCCGUUCCAGGUGUACCUUCUGAGGUUACCAUCAGAAGAUAAUGCCAAAGUAAUAGACAACUACAGAUGGACAGACAAAGGCUUCAAGAGGUGGCCUUUAGGAGUAAGCAACUCAGAGACAAAGCUGCUCUGCUUCCACUGUCCAAUGAAGAUGGCACGCACUGCCAUGUGUACAGCCCUAAUGAGACAUGAGUUCAAGCACACGACAGCCUCCUCUGACCUCAGAGUUGUACACUACAUGCCUACAAGAGAAUUCAGGGAAUUUAUUGUUAUUUCAAAUGCUGCCAAACAGCUCCAACUGACAUCUGAGCUGGCAAGGGAGGGCUGGGAAAACAUGGAACUGGAGUCAGAGGCACCUCUAUAUGUUUCUUCGAGUCGCCUCAAACCCAUCACAGUGUGGGACCUGCUGACCAGAGAUGCUCAACAUGCCAGUCUUACAGGUCUCGUUAGGAUGGAAAUCAUCAACCCUCAACCUGGGGGUGUUUACCUCAGUACCAAAUAUGAAUCACCAGAUUUACUGGUUUGGGAAGAACUGGGAAGAAUCCAGAUUCAGCCAAGACUGUACCAAAUAGUUGAGGUUUGUGAGAAGAUCAGUGAUGCACAACCAUAUCUCCUGAGGUUAUGUUACACAUCGCCCAAGGUUCCCCACAAAGUUUUGGUGCAUUACUUAGGGGACACAAGACCAUAUCUCAUUAAAGAAUGUGAGAUAGUGAUUGAUGAAUACACAGGAGAACCAGCAUAUAUAACCAAGGGAUUGUGGAAGAAAGGCAAACGGAAGGCCUACUUGAGCUCAGAAUAUGCACUGGCGGAAGAGAAGCUGUACAGGAUCAGCAGCCACCACAUGAGAGAUGUUGGUUGUAUGCCACUCAAGCUAGAGGACCUUGACAUUACAGUUAAGCUUGAUCCACACAACCUCCCUGAUGACAAGGAGGAACUAAUAGCUCCAGAUAAACCGGGUCUCUACCUUUAUGGCCACCGGAUGAUGAAGAAGAGGAUAGUUCGUCUCCUAGAAAAUCUUGAUCGGAGUCGUAAAACACAAAUUCCUAUAAAGAAUCCUGAGGCAGGAGAGGCAUAUUUAGUAACAAAACCCUCUGGCACUAAAGCAGCUAUAGACUCCUACAAAUGGACCCAGAAAGGAUGGCAGCCUAUACCUCGGAAGGACCCCCUAGUUUUGUGGCGCUGGGGAUUACUGAGGCACAAGAAGCAAACAUGGGCACCCCCUCUCAUCCGCAUAGAUUAUGUGCACCUCAAAGUCAAUGCAGAUCUCAUGCUAGUCCAUUAUAUUCCAACCAAAGAUAAUGAAAUGAUGCUGGAAAUUAAAAGUGCUAUUGUCCCUGUCCGUGCCCAAACACACUCUCUCUUGUCCUUGGGGGAUGUAAACUUUGGUCAGCACUCUCAGUUGUUAACUAACAGUGCUCUUCCUCCAAGCCACAUAUGGGAACUGCUUAAUGCUGGAGGAGGGUUAUCUGAACCACUCACUGAGCCUCAACCUGGAGGUGUUUAUGUUAUAAAUGUUGGUGCCAAAGAGAAGUUGGACUUGUUCCGCUGGAAGACAGUAGGUGACAUUCGACUGUCUUCCAAUGACUAUGGCCUGAUGGAAACAUCCUACCUUAUUACAUGGGAGCCAGAAGGACUCUUUGCUCGCCUCACCUACCACACCCCUCUUAUCAAGAACAGGACAGUUAUACAUUACCUUGGGGACUGCAGACCUUAUUAUGACAAAGCUAAGGCUGAGGAAGAGGAGCGUCAGAAGAAAUUGGAGUACAUUAGGAAGAAGACUGGAAGCUCUCUAGAUAUUGAUUCAGUUGGUGGUCAUGAUGCUCAUCUGUCUCUUUCGGACAUUGGACCGCGAGAUGCUGCCACAGAAGCAGUUGGCUCCAUCUUAGCAGGCUUAGGAUCUAAUAUUAUGGACACUGAUAACCUCAAUCAAACUUUUGCAGAAUUAGGAGGAGAGGUUGAAGGUUUGUGUGAGGACCAGUUGUCCCUUCUCACAUCACGUCCAGAAGAUGAGCACCUGCGCGACUGCAACCUCACCCCUAUUGAAGUUCCCUUUGGGUCUAUCUCCACAUCAAACAUUGUGAAAGAACUCUUCCCACAGGGGUUGCCAAAGAUAACUAUCCAAAAGGUCCUUGAGGUAGAACCAUCAGAGCCUUUGCCCAAGAAGAGAAGACUGAAUAAUGUCAUUGAGCUACCAGAGCCCAAGUCCGAACUCAAAGAUGAUGACAAGAUAGUAACAGGUUCAUUCCGAGCUGUGCCACGAAGUAUAGAGGACUGGAACGAGGAAGAGGAAGAAAAAGAUGACUGUGAAGAAGGGGAGCAGCUCCAUCGCACUCGCCUGCAAAUAACCACUACUGAACCACGGACUAUUGUUUAUGUUAGGCAGCAGGAAAUUCUGACUGAGAAACAGAUUGAUCAUAUGUUGUGUUACCCAGAUAUAAGUCGUAUUUCCUUCCUGCCACUUAUAGAUCCACAGCCAGGAGAUGUCUUUGUUGUUGCAAUACCAUACAGAAAAGGAGAAGUCAGAAGAAUGGAUUGCUACAACUGGUAUGUAACUGGACACAAGAAAGGAAAAUACAGACGCACUUACAGCUAUAUCAAGGAAGAGGAUGGCAACAUCAGUCACAGAUUACUGCGUUACACCUAUGACUAUGCCUGGGAGAGUAUGCCUGGAUUACGAGUGAUUCACUACAUACCUGGGGAUCCUCGCCACCAAGUUCAAUGUGUGGGGAAGAAGCCAAAUUUUGAGGAAGAGCCUGAGGGACAAGGAAAUGGACCUUUGUACAGAGCCUACACAGCACCAAUGACUCACAGAGAUGCCCUAGCUAUAAUCAAUGACCCACCAAUGUACCACUUGUGUGAUCUGCCAGUCCAGGAUCCAAAAGCUGGAGAUGUUUAUAUUGUUAAAGCUCCAUCAAUGGCGAUUACAAGAAGAGAAAUGAUGUAUGACAACAUGACUUGGAGUGAAGGACACGUAAAACAUGUUGGGGGCAAACGACCAGUCGUGCGAAAAAUCAAAUAUGUGUCUGUUGAUCCAAGUGAUGGAGUAAAGUCUGAUGCAUUUGCCCGAGUGACUUGGGAAAGACUUGUUGAUGUCACAGCACUGGAUACAGAGAUGCCCAUAUCUAGAAAAAAACAAGCUUAUAUCAUUAUUCACUAUCUUGGAGAUGAAACUUUGGCUGGAGAAAUGGUUCGCAAAGGCAAAGAUGGGGCCCUUCACCUUCGUCAAAUAAGACAUUACAUAGAGACUGGAGCUUAUCUUGCUUCUGUUCACUUAACAGAGAAAAAUGGAAUUAGAAAGUCAGCCAAAAAAGUUUGUAAUUGAAGAUAAAAUGAUGUAUUAUGUUGGCAAGGAUGGCUCUGAAAAGAGGUUGGUGCUGUACACUAAUGAGGAGAAAAACAAAGCAUUUGAGGAGUGUCAUGUUCUGCAUAAAUCUGGGGAACAUUGUGGUCGUACCAAGACAUUA